CCCUUAGAUGUUCUGGGCCGCACGCGCGCUACACUGUUCGACGUAGCGAGUCUUAACCUUGACCGAAAGGUUUGGGUAAUCUUCAGCAAAGUCGAACGUGAUGGGGAUCGAUCAUUGCAAUUAUUGAUCGUGAACGAGGAAUUCCUAGUAAGUGCAAGUCAUCAGCUUGCGCUGAUUACGUCCCUGCCCUUUGUACACACCGCCCGUCGCUACUACCGAUUGAAUGGUUUAGUGAGAUCUCUGGAUUGACGCUGGCUAGGGGGCGACCCUUGGCCAGACUGCUCGAGAAACUGCUCAAACUUGAUCAUUUAGAGGAAGUAAAAGUCGUAACA
rnacentral:rRNA from 1 species